UACGGGGGGGGCAAACGUGUUCGGAAUUACUGGGCGUAAAGCGCGUGUAGGCGGCCCUGCAAGUCGGAUGUGAAAUCCCACGGCUCAACCGUGGAAGUGCAUUCGAAACUGCAGGGCUAGAGUCCUGGAGAGGAAGGUGGAAUGCUUGGUGUAGAGGUGAAAUUCGUAGAUAUCAAGCGGAACACCGGUGGCGAAGGCGGCCUUCUGGACAGUGGACUGACGCUGAGACGCGAAAGCGUG
rnacentral:rRNA from 1 species